rnacentral:rRNA from 1 species
AGUCUAGAUCUUACGAGUGAUGCCGGUGCUUGCGCCGGGGAUUAGUGGCGAACGGGUGAGUAACACGUGAGUAACCUGCCCUUAACUCUGGGAUAAGCCUGGGAAACUGGGUCUAAUACCGGAUAUGACUGAUCAUCGCAUGGUGGUUGGUGGAAAGCUUUUUGUGGUUUUGGAUGGACUCGCGGCCUAUCAGCUUGUUGGUGAGGUAAUGGCUUACCAAGGCGACGACGGGUAGCCGGCCUGAGAGGGUGACCGGCCACACUGGGACUGAGACACGGCCCAGACUCCUACGGGAGGCAGCAGUGGGGAAUAUUGCACAAUGGGCGCAAGCCUGAUGCAGCGACGCCGCGUGAGGGAUGACGGCCUUCGGGUUGUAAACCUCUUUCAGUAGGGAAGAAGCGAAAGUGACGGUACCUGCAGAAGAAGCGCCGGCUAACUACGUGCCAGCAGCCGCGGUAAUACGUAGGGCGCAAGCGUUAUCCGGAAUUAUUGGGCGUAAAGAGCUCGUAGGCGGUUUGUCGCGUCUGCCGUGAAAGUCCGGGGCUCAACUCCGGAUCUGCGGUGGGUACGGGCAGACUAGAGUGAUGUAGGGGAGACUGGAAUUCCUGGUGUAGCGGUGAAAUGCGCAGAUAUCAGGAGGAACACCGAUGGCGAAGGCAGGUCUCUGGGCAUUAACUGACGCUGAGGAGCGAAAGCAUGG